CGGGCCUUGCGCAUUAAGAUACGCCCAAGUGGGAUUAGCUAGUUGGUGAGGUAAUGGCUCACCAAGGCGACGAUCCCUAGCUGGUCUGAGAGGAUGAUCAGCCACACUGGAACUGAGACACGGUCCAGACUCCUACGGGAGGCAGCAGUGGGGAAUAUUGCACAAUGGGCGAAAGCCUGAUGCAGCCAUGCCGCGUGUAUGAAGAAGGCCUUAGGGUUGUAAAGUACUUUCAGCAGUGAGGAAGGCGGUAAGAUUAAUACUCUUAUCGUUUGACGUUAGCUGCAGAAGAAGCACCGGCUAACUCCGUG
rnacentral:rRNA from 1 species